rnacentral:rRNA from 1 species
CCCCGCGCGAACGCCCGCUAGAGGCUAAGUAAAUCCUGCUAUCAGUGAAGUCCGAGUAAAUUCAAAUAAUUAAAAAACUUUCAACAACGGAUCUCUUGGUUCUGGCAUCGAUGAAGAACGCAGCGAAAUGCGAUAAGUAAUGUGAAUUGCAGAAUUCAGUGAAUCAUCGAAUCUUUGAACGCACAUUGCGCCCUCUGGUAUUCUGGGGGGCAUGCCUGUUCGAGCGUCAUUGCAAUCUCAAGCCUGGCUUGGUUAUGAGCAUCGCCCUCCCCGGCGAGCCCGAAAUAUAGUGGCUGUCCAGCGAGACCUCAAGCGAACAAGAUACCUAUCGCGCUUUCGAUCGUCUCCGCUGCGACGUGCCUUGCCCCUAAAUUUUCCACGAUUGACCUCGGAUCAGGUAGGGAUACCCGCUGAACUUAAGCAUAUCAAUAAGCGGAGGAAAAGAAACCAACAGGGAUUGCCUCAGUAACGGCGAGUGAAGCGGCAACAGCUCAAAUUUGAAAUCUGGCCCUCCCGGGGUCCGAGUUGUAAUUUGGAGAGGGUGUUUUGGGUGAGGCGCCGGCCUAAGUCCCUUGGAACAGGGCGUCCGAGAGGGUGAGAAUCCCGUAUGCGGCCGGUGACCGAUCCUGUGUAAAACCCCUUCGACGAGUCGAGUUGUUUGGGAAUGCAGCUCUAAAUGGG